CUUAAUACCUGCCAAGUAGAAACGUUGAAGAAAGGGAGCUUGCUUUUUUUUGGAAGGAGUUUGCGAAACGGGUGAAUUAACGCGUAGGGUAACCCUGCCUUGUAGCCGGGGGAUAAGCUAUUGGAAACGAUAGCUAAUACCGCAUAACAGCUUUUGACACAUGUUAGAAGCUUGAAAGAUGCAAUUGCAUCACUCCGAGAUGGACCUGCGUUGUAUUAGCUAGUAGGUAGGGUAACGGCCUACCUAGGCGACGAUACAUAGCCGACCUGAGAGGGUGAUCGGCCACACUGGGACUGAGACACGGCCCAGACUCCUACGGGAGGCAGCAGUAGGGAAUCUUCGGCAAUGGGGGCAACCCUGACCGAGCAACGCCGCGUGAGUGAAGAAGGUUUUCGGAUCGUAAAGCUCUGUUGUAAGAGAAGAAUGUGUGUGAGAGUGGAAAGUUCACACAGUGACGGUAACUUACCAGAAAGGGACGGCUAACUACGUGCCAGCAGCCGCGGUAAUACGUAGGUCCCGAGCGUUGUCCGGAUUUAUUGGGCGUAAAGCGAGCGCAGGCGGUUUAAUAAGUCUGAAGUUAAAGGCAGUGGCUUAACCAUUGUUCGCUUUGGAAACUGUUAAACUUGAGUGCAGAAGGGGAGAGUGGAAUUCCAUGUGUAGCGGUGAAAUGCGCAGAUAUCAGGAGGAACACCGGUGGCGAAGGCGGGUCUCUGGGCAGUAACUGACGCUGAGGAGCGAAAGCAUGGGUAGCGAACAGGAUUAGAUACCCUGGUAGUCCAUGCCGUAAACGGUGGGCGCUAGAAGUAGGGGUCUUCCACGACUUCUGUGCCGUAGCUAACGCAUUAAGC
rnacentral:rRNA from 1 species